rnacentral:lncRNA from 1 species
GGAAGCAGCUACCUCAAAAGAAGGGAAUGAACGGUUGAGACCAGACAAUAUAAUAAGUGGCCACUCUCUGGUAGAGAAAGACUUUGGAGGAAACCCAUCAGGCAUCCAGAACCCACAGCUCUGCCAUCAGAACUCCAUCCUGGGAACAGAAGCCGUCUAUCUGCAUCUGUAAACAUGGCCUCAUGUAGUGACGUGCAGGGAAAUGAGUGUGCCCUUGCAAUGGUUCUCAGUCCUUUCUUUAUCUCAACAUCAUGGCAUUUUAUGGCUUCCCUCAUGAGACAACUCAAUUAUUCUCACAAUUUAUCUAGAUUUCUGGAAAAAUAUGUUGGAAUGUGGCCUUCCUACCCCAUUCCCUCUGACAACAGGUUUAUUGAGGAAUAUAUUUUACUUUCAUAUUUUUAUUUCAGAGGAAAAAUUUCUCCCCAGACAUUUAUUUUCCCCAUGGUUCUCUAAGAGGGAGACAUGAAUGAGGAAACCAUAAAAUAAAAUCAGAUAAGGUGGGACACCAAGAUAAUCAUGUAGCUUGAUUUUGAUGUCUGGACCUCUUUUUAAAAGUUAAGGAAAGAACAAGUUCUUGUUCUCUUUGCAGGUAAAUCCACGGGAACCUUCUCAGUGCAGUGGUAAUACAGAGUAUAAAGUAGCCCUCCUUACUCUUAAGAGGAAAUUUUGCCUCUUCACCUUUCCAAAAGAAAUGACGGUAAUUGUUCUUUAAUUCUCAAACAACCUUAUCUUUUGGUAGCUCAAUAAUGGCAGCAUCUGGUAUAACUUGGAUGCAAGGACUGUUGGCAAGAUCACUAUAAUUUCCAAGAUUUCCAGAAAUUUUCAAUUAAGACUGUUAAAAAUAAAAAAAUACAGGAUAUGAUUUUCAAAGCUGGAAAAUAAAUGCCUGAUUAUAUGGAAUGGUCCCCUUUUGAGGAAAGAAACUGGGAAUAGUUUGGAGCACAAUUUGGCAUAAUGAAGGGAAUGUAAGGUUUAGUCCUGCAGUCACUAAUUGUAUGACUUCAGGCAAAUUACCCUUUCUAGGCCUCAGUUUCCUUAUCUGAAAAAUGGGGAUGAUAAUAAUACUGUACCUACCUCAUAGGUUGCUUUGAUGAUUAAAUGAGCCAAUACAUGUAAAGUACUUGGAAGAGCACUUGCCUCUAGUAGAGCUUGUUCUUAUUAUCAACACUACAGGAGUUACUAGGAAUACAUGAUUAAUUCUGCCUGUAGCCUUUUCAGAAGACUUAGCAUUAGAAUUUUAUUUUGAAGGGCACACCAGUGCAGGAGCAUAGGCUUUUUUCUCAAACAUCUUGAUAACACCAGAAGACAUUUGCCGAUUUCAAAUUGACAACUCAUGACAAUGUGUAAGUUCUAAGUUUCAACCCAAUACUCUUUGCCUCAAGUUGUUCUCCUUCCACUUUAGAGAAAUCAUUACUUCCUGUGUUAAGCAAAUGCCUCGAAAUCAUCUCAGAGUUCCCCCGUGAGUGAUCCUAGUUUUGAAGAGACUAUUCUCAACCCACCUGUCAAUUAUGUCAGUGUAAAGGCAUCCAGAACAUCUGUCCUGAAUUUUCCCGGACUGCACCUGGACUUCAAAAUGAUGGAAGGUGGUGAUCUAACUGUGCAGAAAACAUUGUGAAACAGGCCACAUUCUCAAACUGGUUUGAGAAACUUUUAGAAUAAAAUGUGUCUGGCUAGGUUUAUUCAGCCUUAGUUAUUACUCUUUGUGUAUACACAAGGAUUUCAAACCAUCAAUAAAUGACUGCAAGUGGUUUCUAGUCAUAUCCAACCAACAAAAAGUCUUCCCUUAUGUGUCAAAAGCAAGCAAACCUCAAAUUGGUAAGUUUUCUUUUCCUGGAGAGAUUCUGUGGAAUAUGAUACCUGAACAAUUAGAAUGAGAACAUAGCGAAGGAUGAAGCAACCUUAUAGUUCCAUAAAUUCUAAACAUAGAAAAAUAAACUGAAAAUUCCAAAUAUUUAAAACCUUACGUUUACAUUGAAAUUGAAAGAACUCAGAGCAGUCUGCUGUGUUCAGCAUAAAAGGCAGCAUUCAUAAGGGAGGGAAAGGUACAAAGUCAUCCAGCCUGGAAUGACAGAAUGGAUAUGAAGAAAAUUUAUUUCCUUGUAGAAAUGUUCAAAGCAAUGCUACAUACUUUUCCUUUCCCAUAAAUUUAUAGCAUUUGAAAUUAUUUUUGUACAUUUAUAAAUUCUCUCAAACAUCACUUAAAAUGUUUAAAAAGACAAAAUUAAAGUGUGGCUUUGGGGAGGUCAAUGUAGAAAUGCAUUAAUUGUUUUGUGAUGAAGAAAAGGAAGUUUGAGUAAGUGGUGUAUAAUGUAGUCCUUUGACAAGAUAGAAAAUGGUCAUUUUCAAAGUCCAUUUAUUUUUUUCAUUAACUUAUUUAGACCCCACUGUGUUGCGGAAAUUUUAUAUACAAGAUAGAUUUAUUUUGGUCUUCAGGGGAAAUGUCAGGAAACAGAUGAUUAAAUGAAUGGAUAUGAGGCAGUUUAGGAAAUGACAAUAUAGAAACAUCCAUCUGAUGCUUUGGGACCUUAGAGAGGUCUAACUCAACUCAGAUGGGGAAGAAGAGGAGACAGGAAAAGUCCCAGAGAAGGCAAUGCUGAGCUCCUACCCAUUCCAAAAGAUGGAUUAACAUUGGCAGAAGGAGGUGCUGGGAAGACUCCUCAGGCAUGAGAAAAGCUGGAGCAAAGUCCCAGAGCAGUGAAUCUGUGACACAUUCAGGGAGGAAUAAGUAUUUCUCCUGAAAAUGCCAUGUGGGAAUACAA